AGGGAACCGUUCUUGAUUCUGCCAUGUCGACCCCUUCCUCUCUCACAGUCGCAGGCAUGGCCUUCUCUGCGCUCGCCAGCAUUGAAGCGUCUGGAAUGUAAUAAAUUAGACCAACUGCAAAUAUUGAAUGAUUGUAAUAAUUCAUAAAUAAGAUUAAGUGUACAGUGUACAGGAACUGUGAUUCGCUUGAACCUGAAAGGGACAACAAAUGGAGUCCCAAUGCACUGAA